UACGUAGGGCGCAAGCGUUGUCCGGAAUUAUUGGGCGUAAAGGGCGCGUAGGCGGCCUGCUAAGUCGGACGUGAAAUCCCUCGGCUCAACCGGGGAACUGCGUCCGAUACUGGUGGGCUCGAAUCCGGGAGAGGGAUGUGGAAUUCCAGGUGUAGCGGUGAAGUGCGUAGAUAUCUGGAGGAACACCGGUGGCGAAGGCGGCAUCCUGGACCGGUAUUGACGCUGAUGCGCGAAAGCCAGGGGAGCAAACGGG
rnacentral:rRNA from 1 species